rnacentral:rRNA from 1 species
GCGCGAAAACUUUACAAUGCUGGCAACAGCGAUAAGGGAACCUCGAGUGCCAGGUUACAAAUCUGGCUGUCGAGAUGCCUAAAAAGCAUUUCAUAGCAAGGGCCGGGCAAGACCGGUGCCAGCCGCCGCGGUAACACCGGCGGCUCGAGUGGUAACCGUUAUUAUUGGGUCUAAAGGGUCUGUAGCCGGCCGGAUAAGUCUCUUGAGAAAUCUGGCAGCUUAACUGUCAGGCUUUCAGGAGAUACUGUCUGGCUCGAGGCCGGGAGAGGUGAGAGGUACUUCGAGGGGUAGGGUGAAAUCUUGUAAUCCUUGAAGGACCACCAGUGGCGAAGGCGUCUCACCGAGAACGGACCUGACGGCAAGGGACAAAGCUAGGGGCACGAACCGGAUUAGAGACCCGGG